ensembl:lncRNA
GUGAAAGACUGGAUCAGACACAAGGGUCAGCUGGACACUUUCCACUUCUCAGAUCGCAGCUGGAUUUGUGAGAAGCAAUAUCAGGUACAGGAAUGUGCACCCAUGAGCUUCUUGGGCAUCAAUAUCUGGUAACAAAGUUAAUUUGGUUCUUAAAGCCAGAGAAGACAUUCAGCUUUUCAGGACAUGGUCUAUUGGUAUCCCAUAACACAGCACCUACAUGUUCCCAUGACAUACACAGUGAGUACUCUUCAGAAAAAUGAAUUAUGACUGUGUUUAUACUGUGUACGUAUUAUAUAGAUGACAUGUAACUAUGCUGCUAUAUGAAUUCCAGGAUGUUUCCUUCCAAUUUCAUUUCUGCCAAAAGGCUUGAGGGGAAAUCUGAGAAGGGGGAGGAAAACCUGAUGGAUGAUUGGUGGCAGCAGACCAGCUCCUGCACAGUUUUUUGUCAGUCAGCAUCUCUGCAAGGAGACAACAUCCCUGUAUUUGUCGGUUCCUCAGUUAUGCUAUUGCACUCAUUCCCACCCAGCUCACCUGAAGCACGUAUCACCUUGAUGUGUACACUGCAGUCAAAAAAGCUGUAUUUUCCAGCCUGUUUUUUCAGGUGUUUGAGGUAAGUGAGCUCCCACUGACUGCAUCAGGUGAGGAAGAACUGACACCAGCAGAUCGCAGCCCAGGGUGUGACACUAUGGGUAUUUGUCAGCAGUAGGGCUGUAAGAGACUUCCUGACUCCAUCCAUUCCAUCUUGCAGCAUCUGAAAGCCUCAGAACUUGACAACUGUUUGCAUGGUUACAGCGGACUGUUUAGAAAGGAAAUCUCCUGCUUGCAGCAGGGUAUUGCCAAAAUAGAACUUGGGGCUUAUGGCUGCUGCAGCAGUGGCCUCUUUAGGCUGAGACUACAAGCAAGUGUGAGCACAUGGUCUUAGUUUGCAGAGAAAUGCUCAGUAUAUUGUUAGUAAGAUACAGUCCCAUCGUAUCUAUUUAUAUCUCUGUGAAUGGAUCCUUACCCCAUGAAUACUUUUUUCCAGUGUUUGAGGACAAGUGGUAGAAAGGCAGAAAAAAAAAAUCUUAAAUUUAGCAGUGUUUCACCUUUUUACCUUAAAUUUCACAUUGCUUUAACCAGCUUGAUUUGAGCCUGAAUAGCUACAGAAAUGCUUACAGCCAUUCCCAGCAGUGAGAUUGAGGAAAGCCUCACCUGUGUCUCCAAACUCAUGUUUUGGGGCUGUUCAAAUGCCAUCAGCUUUGGUUAGGCUGAAACUCCUCACUGCAAAACUUUGACAAGUUCCUCUGCCAUGCCAUGGUGUCACCAAGCCCCCAGGUGCCCAGAGAACCCUCCCCAUGGCACUGUGCCCUACGGACAUGGAUGUCACCAAGUUUUACCACGUGCUCAGAGUUUUCCUUGUUAGUAAGCUAAAUGUCUUCAAAUACAAUCGAACUUUCACAAGGAGCAAUGUCACGCAGCAUAAGGACACUCAUCAGCUCUGAGCAAGAGGGCUCGCUCUCUCCCUCACAUGAAGGACUGCUGAAAAGCCAGACUUGCUGUGGAGGUGCGGGUGCCAGAAUCAACACAAGCCAAUAAACCAGCUGCUCCAACUCGACCACAGCAGCAUUACAGCUGUUUCACUGCCACCUCUCUAAGACACAAUAUUAAGACAACCAGCCAGAUCACUCUUAAAAAUGGGCUGUCACAGUCCAAAUGACAUCCUGAAGAUGGCAAGGGUCCUGAUUUGAUCUCUUACUG